rnacentral:rRNA from 1 species
GACGAACGCUGGCGGCGCGCUUAACACAUGCAAGUCGAACGGAAAGGCCUGCUUUCCCUUGUUCCUUUCGGGUACUCGAGUGUAACACGGGUGAGUCACCCGUGAGUGAUCUGCCCCCAGCUUGGAUCUAAGCCUGGGACACUGUGUCUUAUUCCCGAUAGGACUGCAUCGUGGUGCCUGUGGUGGCACACGUUUUUCUCGUGUUUGUGGAUGAGCUCGCGGCCUAUCAGCUUGUUGGUGGGGUAAUGGCCUACCUAGGCGGCGACGGGAAGCCGGCGUGAGAGGGUGGACGGUCAGAGUGGGACAGAGAUAAGGCCGAGACUGAUACGGGAGGCAGCAGUGGGGAAGAUGGCACAAUGGGCGGAAGCCUGAAGCAGCGAAGACGCGUGGGGGAUGACGGCCUGCGGGUUGUGAACUCCUAUGGACCGCGAGGAAGCCACCUGGUAGGAAGGGUGGUGACGGUAGUGGGAGAAGAAGCACCGGCUAACUACGUG